UACGUAGGGUGCAAGCGUUGUCCGGAAUUAUUGGGCGUAAAGAGCUCGUAGGCGGUCUGUCGCGUCUGCUGUGAAAACCCGAGGCUCAACCUCGGGCCUGCAGUGGGUACGGGCAGGCUAGAGUUCGGCAGGGGAGACUGGAAUUCCUGGUGUAGCGGUGAAAUGCGCAGAUAUCAGGAGGAACACCCGUGGCGAAGGCGGCACUCGUGGGACGGUACUGACGCUGAGACGCGAAAGCGUGGGGAGCGAACAGG
rnacentral:rRNA from 1 species